rnacentral:lncRNA from 1 species
CUCCCUCUCUUUCCACGGUCUCCCUCUGAUGCCGAGCCGUUGGACGGUACUGCUGCCAUCUCGGCUCACUGCAACCUCCCUGCCUGAUUCUCCUGCCUCAGCUUGCCGAGUGCCUGCGAUUGCAGGCGCGCGCCGCCACGCCUGACUGGUUUUCGUAUUUUUUUGGUGGAGACGGGGAUUCGCUGUGUUGGCCGGGCUGGUCUCCAGCUCCUAACCGCGAGUGAUCCGCCAGCCUCGGCCUCCCGAGGUGCCGGGAUUGCAGACGGAGUCUCCUUCACUCAGUGCUCAAUGGUGCCCAGGCUGGAGCGGCAGUGGCGUGAUCUCGGCUCGCUACAACCUCCACCUCCCAGCAGCCUGCCUUGGCCUCCCAAAGUGCCGAGAUUGCAGCCUCUGCCCGGCCGCCACCCCGUCUGGGAAGUGAGGAGCGUCUCUGCCUGGCUGCCCAUCGUCUGGGACGUGAGGAGCCCCUCUGCCUGGCUGCCCAGUCUGGAAAGUGAGGAGCGUCUCUGCCCGGCCGCCAUCCCAUCUAGGAAGUGAGGAGCGCCUCUUCCCGGCCGCCAUCACAUCUGGGAAGUGAGGAGCGUCUCUGCCCGGCCGCCCAUCGUCUGAGAUGUGAGGAGCGUCUCUGCCCGGCCGCCCCGUCUGAGAAGUGAGGAGACCCUCUGCCUGGCAACUGCCCCGUCUGAGAAGUGAGGAGCCCCUCCGCCUGGCAGCCACCCCGUCUGAGAAGUGAGGAGCGUCUCCUCCCGGCAGCCACCUCGUCCGGGAGGGAGGUGGGGGGGUCAGCACCCCGCCCGGCCAGCCACCCCGUCCGGCAGGUGAGGGGCGCCUCUGCCCAGCCGCCCCUACUGGGAAGUGAGGAGCCCCUCUGCCCGGCCAGACGCCCCGUCCGGGAGGGAGGUGGGGGGAUCAACCCCCCUCCCAGCCAGCCGCCCCGUCCGGCAGGUGAGGGGUGCCUCUGCCCGGCUGCCCCUACUGGGAAGUGAGGAGCCCCUCUGCCCGGCCAGCCGCCCCAUCCGGGAGGGAGGUGGGGGGGUCAGCCCCCCGCCCGGCCAGCCGCCCCGUCCGGGAGGUGUACCCAACAGCUCAUUGAGAACGGGCCAUGAUGACAAUGGCGGUUUUGUAGAAUAGAAAGGGGGGAAAGGUGGGGAAAAGAUUGAGAAAUCGGAUGGUUGCCGUGUCUGUGUAGAAGGAAGUAGACAUGGGAGACUUUUCAUUUUGUUCUGUACUAAGAAAAAUUAUUCUGCCUUGGGAUCCUGUUGAUCGGUGACCUUACCCCCAACCCUGUGCUCUCUGAAACAUGUGCUGUAUCCACUCAGGGUUGAAUGGAUUGAGGGCAGUGCAAGAUGUGCUUUGUUAAACAGAUGCUUGAAGGCAGCAUGCUCCUUAAGAGUCAUCACCACUCCC